AGUCCACAUCGACGGGGAGGUUUGGCACCUCGAUGUCGGCUCAUCACAUCCUGGGGCUGUAGUAGGUCCCAAGGGUUGGGCUGUUCGCCCAUUAAAGUGGUACGCGAGCUGGGUUCAGAACGUCGUGAGACCGUUCGGUCCCUAUCCGUCCCCCGCGUAGGAAAUUUGAGACGACCUUUCCUUCGUACGAAAGGAACGGGAUGGACGUACCUCUGGACUACAAGUUGGUCUGCCAAGGGCCUCGCUGGGGAGCUAUUUACGGGAUGGAUAAGCGCUACAAGGAUCUAAGCGCGAAACCAUCUUCAAGAUAAGAUUUCCCACCGCAAGGGUAAGACCCCAGAAAGACUAUCUGGUUGAUAGGUCGAAGGUGUAAGUGCAGCAAUGUAUUUAGCUUAUCGAUACUAAUAGGUCGAGGACUUGACCAAU
rnacentral:rRNA from 1 species